rnacentral:rRNA from 1 species
GAUGAACGCUGACAGAAUGCUUAACACAUGCAAGUCAACUUGAAUUUGGGUUUUUAACUUCGGUUUGGGUGGCGGACGGGUGAGUAACGCGUAAAGAACUUGCCUCACAGCUAGGGACAACAUUUGGAAACGAAUGCUAAUACCUAAUAUUAUGAUAAUAGGGCAUCCUAUAAUUAUGAAAGCUAUAAGCGCUGUGAGAGAGCUUUGCGUUCCAUUAGCUAGUUGGAGAGGUAACGGCUCACCAAGGCGAUGAUGGGUAGCCGGCCUGAGAGGGUGAUCGGCCACAAGGGGACGGAGACACGGCCCUUACUCCUACGGGAGGCAGCAGUGGGGAAUAUUGGACAAUGGACCGAGAGUCUGAUCCAGCAAUUCUGUGUGCACGAUGAAGUUUUUCGGAAUGUAAAGUGCUUUCAGUUGGGAAGAAACAAAUGACGGUACCAACAGAAGAAGUGACGGCUAAAUACGUG